GCCCCCACUCCCCGCGAUUGCUUCUCCCUGUUGGAGCAGAGCUGUGUGUGUAACUCAGGACAGAGCUGCCGCAGUUCAGAGGAGCGAGGAGAAGCAGCCGGUCAGAUUCCAGAGACUUGUGUUUUCACUCCUGUUUGUUUAGCUCAGGGUUUGGGAAGGUCUCCCAUGUUCCGGGCUGUGCUGCUUAGCCGGGUGUCACCCCGCAUGUUCCCACUUCUGGCUGCCGUGCUGUUCCAGAGGAAAGAGAGGAAGGAUAGUGGGCUCUCUCACUGGCGGCGUGAGAAGCAUCCUUACUACAACCUCACAGUAAAAGUCCUCAGAGCCAGAAACAUCCAGGGUACAGAUUUGUUGUCCAAGGCAGACUGCUUUGUGAAAUUGCGUCUACCAACUGCAUCUUCAAUCACUUAUCAAACUCAGGUUGUUGACAACUCCAGUAAUCCAGAGUGGAAUGAAACCUUCCAGUACAGAAUCCACAGUGCUGUCAAGAACGUUCUGGAGUUGUCUCUCUUCGAUGAAGAUGUCCUGAUAAAUGAUGAACUUACUUCUAUUGUCUUUGAUGUGGGGGGUAUAAAGCCAGGCCAACCUUUAAAGCGCACUUUCAAGUUAAAUCCAGAGGCUCAGGAGGAGUUGGAUGUAGAGUUCUACUUAGAAAAAUGCUCAGAUGCCCCUACUGAGAUCCUCACCAAUGGUGUCCUUGUGGCUCAUCCCUGCCUGUGUCUCCAAGGUGUAAUCAACAAAGAUGAGAAGUCAAAGCAGAGUGAAAAGGGGAGCUGUCAGAUCAAGCUAUCAAUGCUGGGGGCCUAUGAGAAACAGUUGUGCGUUCCUUGCAGAGUGGACAAUGAUCAAGAUUUUGGGACGCCAUUUGUCUUUCAUGUAGACAAAGAAAUGUGUCCAGACCUGGAGGUGGAACUGGAGCAAACGAUAACUGUCUUACAGGAUGAAAUAAGCUCUGAUCUGGAAAAGCACACUACACUUCUGGGACAGGGAACUGUACCAGUUAAAUCACUUCCUGUUGGACAGAAAGUAGUCAUGGCUGUUCCUUUAGGAGAGGGACAAAGUUUGGAUCUGAGUGUGAAGGCUGAAAAGAGUACUUGGGAUCUUGAUGUACGCCUUGGUUUUGGCCUCUGUGAAGAAGAGAGAGAAUUUUUGGACAAGAGGAAGAAAAUAGUUUCUCAGGCACUAAUGAAGACACUUAAGUUAAGAGAAGCCCCUGGGAAAGAUGAGGUCCCAGUGGUAGCAGUUUUGGGAUCAGGUGGUGGGACUAGAGCACUGACAUCAUUCUAUGGCAGCCUGUCAGGGCUUCAGCAGCUCGGCCUUUUGGACAGUACAAUGUAUCUGUGUGGAAUUUCAGGUUCUACUUGGUGUUUGUCUGCACUGUAUCAAGACACAGACUGGUCCUGUAAGGACCUCCAAGGUGCAAUCAGCAAUGCCAGGGAUAAUGUAUCUAGUAGCAAAGCAGGGGCAUUUUCGUCAGAACGAUUGAAAUAUUACUUCCAGGAGCUGAACUCAAUGGAGAAUGGUGGACGGAAAGUCUCUUUCACAGACUUGUGGGGCCUUAUUAUAGAGUAUUUUCUAUAUCAGAAGGAAGACUUGUCAAAGCUGUCUGACCAACAGGAAGCAGUGAAGAGGGCACAGAACCCCUAUCCCAUCUAUGCAGCAAUCAAUGUGAGGCCCAAUAUUAGCGAUGAUGACUUUGCAGAAUGGUGUGAGUUCACUCCCUAUGAGGUUGGAUUCCGGAAGUAUGGUGCCUUUGUCCGAGCAGAAGACUUUGACAGUGAGUUCUUCAUGGGCCGGCUGGUCCGGAAACGUCCAGAGCCCAGGAUCUGCUAUCUGCAGGGAAUGUGGGGCAGUGCCUUUGCCGCAAGUCUGGAUGAUGUCUUUCUGAAGAUGGUUGGUUCAGGACUGAGCUUUCUAGAUUCUUUGAAAGAUGUAAUCAGAGUCAUAGAUGAUUGCCAAAGAUUCCAUUUUCGGGAAGCCACUCGGUUAAAGACUCGUCUGGUUAUACCAGGGGGACCCUUAUUACAAAUUUUCCAGGAUUUCUUCAAGUCCCGUGUCACCUCUGGGGAAACCUUCAACUUCAUGCAAGGCUUGUACCUUCACAGGAAUUAUGUCAACAACAGGCAUUUUGUAGCCUGGAAAGGUACACACCUUGAUGCUUUUCCCAACCAGCUGACUCCCAUGGAAGACAGCCUGUACCUGGUGGAUGGUGGUUUUUCGAUCAACUCUCCCUUUCCCGUGGUGCUCCAGCCAGAAAGAGAUGUAGAUGUCAUCCUGUCAUUUAACUACUCUUGGGAUGCUCCGUUUGAGGUUUUACAGUUGACUCAGAAAUACUGUGAAGAACAGGAAAUCCCCUUUCCACAAAUCAUCUUGAGUGAGGAAGAUGAGAAGAAGCCAAAAGAAUGUUACAUGUUUGUGGAUGAUGAAAACCCUAAAGCUCCCAUAGUGCUUCACUUCCCACUGGUGAAUGAUACAUUCCGGAAAUACAAAGCACCGGGAAUAGAACGUGAGUCAGAAGAUGAGAAAUCCUUUGGUGAUUUUGUCAUUGAGGGAAAAGACUCUCCUUACCGCACGCUAAACUUCACCUUUGAGCCCUAUGACUUUGACAGGCUGGUGGAAGUGAACUGCUACAAUGUUCUGAACAACAAGGACAUACUCCUAAAGGCCCUAAAUUUGGCUCUGAGCAGGAGGAAGCUGAAGAAGGGCAAUGGGCAAUGAGAACCUUCUUGGCAUAGGACAUGGAUGGACUGCAGUGCACCAAAGGAAUAUGGUUCAAGUAGUACUCUUGAGGGAAUUCUGUGCCACUGUGCAUGCAUAAUUAAUAAUCCAUGCAUAUUUUAAAUUUUUUAUGCAGAAAAAAGCUUUUUCUGGAAAGUUUCUGCAGUUGUGCCUUUUCCCCAUCAGAGAGCACUGUGGCGAUAGAACAGAGCAGCAGCUCCUGGCCAGCUAGGGAAGAGAGAGCACCUGCAGGGCCUUCUUCACAGCACCUGUUGGGCCAGUCUAGGAGACAGGGCUAUGGGGAGAAAGACAAUUUGGGCUGCUGGGGCUCAGACAGGGGCUCAUAAUGGCUAGUGGAGGAGGACAGAGUGGGGCACGGGGUGAAUGGGAGUGCAGGGUCACGGGGGGAGGCAGGUGCAGGGCUACAUGGGGAAAGGGGGUGGGGAUGCAGGGCUACAUAGUGACAGGGAGGUGGCUGAGUUGGGGGCUCAGAGACAUUUGGGAGGCGGUGCAGGGCCACAUGGUGAUGUAGGGGAGUGGGCAUCUGAGUGGGGGUGGAGAAACACACGUAGAUAGGUUGUGCUAGGACACAUGGGGACAGGGGCAGAUGUGCCUGAGAAUACAGGUCAGCCAGGGUCUGCGUGGGGGAAGCUCCCUAACAAUCUCUUCCUGUCCUCCCCAAAAAACCUAUUCCAUACUUUUUUAACCCCUACCCAACAACCCACCAAGUUUACACUCAGGUUCCUUCUAGCAAUUAACUUCCCUCUCCCUCACCUUCUCCGUUAGCCCCAACCCCAAGCCUUUGCUCUGCUUCUGAGGGGUGCAGGAAAAACAGUUAUAUAUUGUAGUUCAAAUGAAUUAUUACUCAGAGUUAUGUAUUAAUAUCCCUAGUAAGGAAUCUAUUUCUCAAAAUAACAUUUUCUGAAUCUCUUUUGUUUGUUGUCUGUAUUGUUACAGACAUACUUGCUGACAGGUAUUUCGAAAUAAAUGACCAAAAAUAAUUGAA